AUUGAACGCUGGCGGCAUGCUUUACACAUGCCAGUCGAACGGUAACAGGCCUUCGGGUGCUGACGAGUGGCGAACGGGUGAGUAAUGCAUCGGAACGUACCCAGAGGUGGGGGAUAACGCAGCGAAAGCUGUGCUAAUACCGCAUGUGAUCUGAGGAUGAAAGCGGGGGACCGAGCAGCAAUGUUUGGCCUCGCGCCUUUGGAGCGGCCGAUGUCGGAUUAGCUAGUUGGUGGGGUAAAGGCCUACCAAGGCGACGAUCCGUAGCUGGUCUGAGAGGACGACCAGCCACACUGGGACUGAGACACGGCCCAGACUCCUACGGGAGGCAGCAGUGGGGAAUUUUGGACAAUGGGCGCAAGCCUGAUCCAGCAAUGCCGUGUGCGGGAAGAAGGCCUUCGGGUUGUAAACCGCUUUUGGCAGGAACGAAACGGUGUCCGCUAAUACCGGGCGCUAAUGACGGUACCUGCAGAAUAAGCACCGGCUAACUACGUG
rnacentral:rRNA from 1 species